AUAGAAGACCACAGUCUUGGAGAACAAUGCUUUGGACAAAUUCUGCACCUGCUUUAAUAGGUGAGCAGUGGGAAGUGUUAAGGAAAGGUUUCCUUGCUUCAAGUUCUUGCACCAGAAAAAUUUGGAUUUUAAGCAUUGGAAUGUUAGUUGUGAUCACUUUCUACUAUUUCUUGAAGGUUACAAGUUGUUGAAUUCAAUCCCUCAAGAUUUUGCUAGUAUAACUACACUUUCUCUAAUUUUACUACUAUAUAAGGAACGAUAUCAAAUUUGGUAGUCGUCACAAGGGCAGGUUAAGACAUUCGGGCUCCCAAUCGCACUUAGCAGCCCAGAAUUUUCAACAACAGUUUUAGUGGUGAUUCCUCAUAGUUUGAGGACAUUAUUAUUAUUUUAGAAUCUUAGUUUAUCAAUUUCAAUAGUCAGAGUUAGUUGGAGACUUGUUCCAUCAACUCCUUGUUCAGACAGUA